AUCGGCCUGUCCAAACAAUUGUCAAGUCUGUGUGUUAUCGAUUCGUGUAACAAAUUAAAUUAAUACAAGGUACACAUCGCCGUGAUAUAUUUUCUGGUGCGUUGUCCUUUCGCUGACGCACAACUACGGUGGAUCCAACCUUUAAUUGAAGUGGCUGGUGUUGCUUCUGGCGGUAGAACUGUCGCAUAUCACGCAGGACA